AAGGGAGACCUAAUUCAGGUAGGAGACGAAAAAAAAGUAGUCCCAACCAAGAAUCAAUCCCAAAAGGUCGGAGCGAGGCGAAAUUGGCUUUCAAACUAGGUUCUGGGUUCACACAAGACCUGAAUCAGGAACAAGGGCUAUUAGCUCAGGUGGUUAGAGCGCACCCCUGAUAAGGGUGAGGUCCCUGGUUCGAGUCCAGGAUGGCCCACCUGCACAGGUGGCAAAAACAAGAGAAGCGAGGAAUCAGCACCUUAUCUUAUCUAUAUAUAUAUAGGAGAGAAUGCUGGCUCUGAGUAAAGAGUCCAGAGGAGCCUUGAAAACUGCAUAGAGCUAGGUGAAAAAGCCAAAAAAGAAGACCGCAA
rnacentral:tRNA from 1 species